UACGUAGGGGGCUAGCGUUGUCCGGAAUCAUUGGGCGUAAAGCGCGCGUAGGCGGCCCGGUAAGUCCGCUGUAAAAGUCAAAGGCUCAACCUUUGAAUGUCAGUGGAUACUGCCGGGCUAGAGUCCGGAAGAGGCGAGUGGAACUCCUGGCGUAGCGGUGGAAUGCGCAGAUAUCAGGAAGAACACCGACGGCGAAGGCAGCUCGCUGGGACGGUACUGACGCUGAGGCGCGAAAGCGUGGGGAGCGAACCGG
rnacentral:rRNA from 1 species